rnacentral:rRNA from 1 species
UGGGGAAUAUUGCACAAUGGGCGAAAGCCUGACGGAGCAACGCCGCGUGCGGGAUGACGCUUUCGGCGUGUAAACGCUGUUCGUGGGGACGCGGUACCCACGGAGGAAGGCCCGGCUAACUACGUGCCAGCAGCCGCGGUAAUACGUAGGGGUCGAGCGUUGUCCGGAGUUACUGGGCGUAAAGCGUGCGCAGGCGGCUCAUUGCGCCCGGCGUGAAACCCCCCGGCUCAACCGGGGAGGGUCGUCGGGGACGGGUGAGCUUGAGGGUAUCAGGGGUUGGUGGAAUUCCCGGUGUAGUGGUGAAAUGCGUAGAGAUCGGGAGGAACCCCGUGGCGAAGGCGGCCAACUGGGAUACACCUGACGCUGAGGCACGAAGGCGGGGGGAGCGAACGGGAUUAGAUACCCGAGUAGU